rnacentral:rRNA from 1 species
UACAUAGACCUCAAGCGUUAUCCGGAUUUACUGGGCGUAAAGGGCGCGUAGGCGGCGUAACAAGUCACUUGUGAAAUCUCCGGGCUUAACUCGGAGCGGUCAAGUGAUACUGUUGUGCUAGAGUGCGGAAGGGGCUACUGGAAUUCUCGGUGUAGCGGUGAAAUGCGUAGAUAUCGAGAGGAACACCUGCGGCGAAGGCGGGUAGCUGGGCCGAUACUGACGCUGAGGAGCGAAAGCGUGGGGAGCGAACAGG